rnacentral:rRNA from 1 species
UUGAAAAGAACUUUGAAGAGAGAGUUCAAGAGUACGUGAAACCGUUCAGGGGUAAACCUAAGAAACCCAAAAGAUCGAACGGGGAGAUUCAUCGUCAGCGGCCUCGGCUUGGCGUCGGUGGGCGAUGACCCGCGGGUUUCUCGCGCGGGCACGCUACCGUGCGCUCACGUCCGUCGUCGUCGUCGUGCACUUCUCCCCUAGUAGAACGUCGCGACCCGCUGGGUGUCGGUCUACGGCCCGAGUGCGGUGCCUGUCGCGUCGCCGGUAAAACGGCACGCGGCAAACCCUCGGUCGCCCGACCGGCUGCCCGGCGGUACUCGCAAGGUAUCAGGCCGCAAGGCACGCGCGCGCCAAAAGCGCCGCGCGUCUCUGCGUCGAGCCCGUCGCAAGCGCGCGCCACGGUUACUCGGUGGUUACGGACCUAGCGCCGUCCCCGGUCCUGGCCCGCUGUUCGCCGACGGUGACCCUUCGACUGGCCUCGAAGCGCGGGCGGGCGGUUUAUCCGUCCGCUCGCGCGAUACCGGUCGGCGACGCUACUGCUUUGGGUACUCUUAGGACCCGUCUUGAAACACGGACCAAGGAGUCUAACAUGUGCGCGAGUCAUUGGGAUCGUUGAGACCUAAAGGCGCAAUGAAAGUGAAGGUCGGCCCUGGCGCCGACCUAGGGAGGAUGGGCCGCGUCGCGAUGCGGCCCCGCACUCCCGGGGCGUCUCGUUCUCAUCGCGAGAAGAGGCGCACCAAGAGCGUACACGUUGGGACCCGAAAGAUGGUGAACUAUGCCUGGUCAGGACGAAGUCAGGGGAAACCCUGAUGGAGGUCCGUAGCGAUUCUGACGUGCAAAUCGAUCGUCGGAACUGGGUAUAGGGGCGAAAGACUAAUCGAACCAUCUAGUAGCUGGUUCCCUCCGAAGUUUCCCUCAGGAUAGCUGGCACUCUGCCGUUCCACGGAACGCGCACGAGUCUCAUCUGGUAAAGCGAAUGAUUAGAGGCCUUGGGGCCGAAACGACCUCAACCUAUUCUCAAACUUUAAAUGGGUGAGAUCUCUGGCUUUCUUGAACCAUGAAGCCACGAGCAUCUCGGAUCAGAGUGCCAAGUGGGCCAAUUUUGGUAAGCAGAACUGGCGCUGUGGGAUGAACCAAACGCAGAGUUAAGGCGCCUAACUCGACGCUCAUGGGACACCAUGAAAGGCGUUGGUUGCUUAAGACAGCAGGACGGUGGCCAUGGAAGUCGGAAUCCGCUAAGGAGUGUGUAACAACUCACCUGCCGAAGCAACUAGCCCUGAAAAUGGAUGGCGCUGAAGCGUCGAGCCUAUACUCUGCCGUCAGCGGCAAGAGGGGCGGGCGUUCGCGCGCGCGCGAGCGGCGUGCUCGUCACGAUCGCCUCGUUUCUCGAGCGGCGUCCGUCACGAAGCCCUGACGAGUAGGAGGGUCGCGGCGGUGUGCGCAGAAGGGUCU